rnacentral:piRNA from 1 species
CUUGAACAAAAAGACGCGGUGGGC